GCGAAGAACCUUACCUGGGCUUGACAUGCAGCUGCGCGGCGUAUGAAAGUACGCCUCCUUCGAGGGAGCUGCACAGGUGCUGCAUGGCUGUCGUCAGUUCGUGCCGUGAGGUGUUUGGUUAAGUCCACCAACGAACGCAACCCCUUAUCCGUGUUGCCAACGGGUCGUGCCGGGAACUCGCGGAUGACUGCUGGUUCACGCCAGAGGAAGGUGGGGAUGACGUCAAGUCAGUAUGGCCCUUACGCCCAGGGCCGCACACGUGCUACAAUGGCCGGUACAGAGGGACGCGAUGCCGCGAGGCGGAGCUAAUCCCAGAGAGCCGGCCCCAGUUCGGAUCGGGGUCUGCAACCCGACCCCGUGAAGUCGGAUUUGCUAGUAACGGCGCAUCAGCUACGGCGCCGUGAAUGCGUUCCCGGGUCUUGUACACACCG
rnacentral:rRNA from 1 species